rnacentral:rRNA from 1 species
ACUCAAAUGAAUAGACGGGGGCCCGCACAAGCGGUGGAGCAUGUGGUUUAAUUCGAUGCAACGCGAAGAACCUUACCUGGGCUCGAAGUACAGUAUAAACUCAUGAAAGUGGGGUAUUCCUUCGGGAAGUGCUGUAUAGGUGCUGCAUGGCUGUCGUCAGCUCGUGUCGUGAGAUGUUAGGUUAAGUCCUGCAACGAGCGCAACCCUUGUCUUUAGUUGCCAUCAGGUAAUGCUGGGAACUCUAAAGAGACUGCCGACGUUAAGUCGGAGGAAGGUGGGGAUGACGUCAAGUCCUCAUGGCCCUUACGUCCAGGGCUACACACGUGCUACAAUGGCCGGUACAAAGCGUCGCAAGACCGCAAGGUGGAGCAAAUCGCAAAAAACCGGUCUCAGUUCAGAUUGCACUCUGCAACUCGAGUGCAUGAAGUUGGAAUCGCUAGUAAACGCGGAUCAGCAGGUCGCGUUGAAUACGUUCCCGGGCCUUGUACACACCGCCCGU